rnacentral:rRNA from 1 species
GGAAUCUUCCACAAUGGGCGAAAGCCUGAUGGAGCAACGCCGCGUGUGUGAUGAAGGGUUUCGGCUCGUAAAACACUGUUGUAAGAGAAGAAUGACAUUGAGAGUAACUGUUCAAUGUGUGACGGUAUCUUACCAGAAAGGAACGGCUAAAUGCGUGCCAG